UACGUCGACGAAUCUAGCGUGGCCGCAUCUCGUGUGGUCUUCCUCUUACAUCCCAGUCUGAAUCUCCUCAUGAACACGUGAGGGAGGUGAUACUGACGCGGGCGCCGCCGCAGUUCCCUUCCCUGGAAGCCUACAGCUCAAUGGGUCCUGCUCGAUGGCCGUGCUUGUCGCGUGCCCGUGGGCUGGGCGCCUGAAGCAGGGCAAGGCAGAGCAUGCCGUGGCCUAUGAACUUUGCUAUUUUUCAGGUAUCAGGAAAUGGAAUCACCUGAUGUUUGCAAGCCAUGCCCGACAUAAGAUUGUAUUUCUUGGUGUACUGUAACCGUAGAGGAUUGGUUGAUCAAGGACUCAUGUGUAAAACACUAUUGAUAGGAUGACAAUAGGAGGACAAGAGAUGCCGCAUUACCUCCCCGGCCUCUUCUUCGGCAAGGAUCUGCAGGUGGCGGCUUUUGAAGAGAACAACAGUCUUUGGACCGAGCUAACAUACCCCUGAGUCAAAGGAUUCAGUUCAUGCCUCUUAGUGUUGUUGUUUCAUUUAUGCUAGCUUCAUUAACAUGCAGCUAGAACAACAACAGAGGCACAAGCAUGAUGAAGACACUCGAGAGACCUGCAAUGACUCUCUUAUGUCUCCUCCGGCGCCCCAAACAUGCACCUAGAACAACAACAGAGACACAAGCAUGAUGAAGGCACUUGAGAGACCUGCAAUAAGUGUGCGAACCUUGGUGGAGACGAGAUAAUGGUAGUGUGAUUCAGAUUUGAGGAAACACCGUGUGACUUGCUUCUCUUCAGUAGAUGUUUACGCAUGAUAUUCUCUGCGAAAACUUGAAUUUUUUUAUGGUUUGAGUUAAUUGAUGGUAGAUUCCUAUUGUUUGUACAUAUGUUUGUUAUGCACUUACCGUUUACUCAUGAUAUAGUUUUAACUCUCAACCAUGGUUAAUAUAGUGUUCGGAGAAGAUGAGAAAGGAUCAUUUCUCUUAAAUGUUUCACCAAGGUACAUGGGUGCAACUUUGUUGUAUUGAACAUGAUUCAUUUGCAUUGGUUUAUCUUUGGGUGAUGCAGGCCCUAAUCAUAUUUACAUUUCCUUUCCGUUGUCGCUUUUAAAGACCAUGCUGCGAUGGCCGACAAUGCAUUGCCUAUGUAGAUGAUAAUUUUAGUGUUCCUUGCUUUUGUUGCUCUCGGCAAAAUCAACAACUGUUAAUUUCUAUAUUAUAUAUAUUCCUCUGGUUAUUUACUGUGGUUUGUGAUGAUUUGUA